rnacentral:rRNA from 1 species
UACGAAGGUCCAGCGUUAUCCGGAUUAUUGGUUGUAAAGGGUGCGUAGGCGGGCUGAUUAAGUCAGUGGAUGAAAUCCCCGAGCUUAACUUGGGAACUGCCAUUGAUACUAUCAGUCUUGAAUUGACCGUGGAGUCGGCGAAUAUGUCAUGUAGCGGUGAAAUGCUUAGAUAUGACAUAGAACACCAAUUGCGAAGGCAGCUGGCUACACGAAUAUUGACACUGAUGCACGAAAGCGUGGGGAUCAAACAGG